rnacentral:rRNA from 1 species
GGUUAAGUGACUAAGCGUACACGGUGGAUGCCUUGGCAGUCAGAGGCGAUGAAGGACGUAUUAACUUGCGAUAAGCCCAGAUUAGGCAGUAAAAGCCACUUGAGUCUGGGAUUUCCGAAUGGGGAAACCCAACUGCAUAAGCAGUUACUGUUAACUGAAUACAUAGGUUAACAGGGCGAACCGGGGGAACUGAAACAUCUAAGUACCCCGAGGAAAAGAAAUCAACCGAGAUUCCGAAAGUAGCGGCGAGCGAAAUUGGACUAGCCCUUAAGCUUUACACGCGUU